rnacentral:rRNA from 1 species
UAUGAGUUAGUGGCGGACGGGUGAGUAACACGUAUCCAACCUGCCGAUGACUCGGGGAUAGCCUUUCGAAAGAAAGAUUAAUACCCGAUGGCAUAGUUCUUCCGCAUGGUAGAACUAUUAAAGAAUUUCGGUCAUCGAUGGGGAUGCGUUCCAUUAGCUUGUUGGCGGGGUAACGGCCCACCAAGGCAUCGAUGGAUAGGGGUUCUGAGAGGAAGGUCCCCCACAUUGGAACUGAGACACGGUCCAAACUCCUACGGAAGGCAGCAG